GCCCCUAAGAGUAAUAAAGGUGCGCGAAGGUAGGUCAAGCUAAGAUUCUGCUCGUGUGCAUAAUGGUAUAAACCUGCCUGGCUGUGAGACUAAUUGGUUGAAAAGAGACGAAAGUCAAUCAUAGUACUCCGGGACUCCCGUGUGAAAGGCUCUCGCUCAAC
rfam:Nicotiana attenuata strain TT chromosome 6, whole genome shotgun sequence.